CUACGGGGGGCAGCAGUGAGGAAUAUUGCACAAUGGGGGGAACCCUGAUGCAGCAACGCCGCGUGGAGGAUGACGCAUUUCGGUGUGUAAACUCCUUUUAUAUGUCAAGAAAAUGACGGUAGCAUAUGAAUAAGCACCGGCUAACUCCGUGCCAGCAGCCGCGGUAAUACGGAGGGUGCAAGCGUUACUCGGAAUCACUGGGCGUAAAGGACGCGUAGGCGGAUUGGAAAGUCAGGUGUGAAAUCCUACAGCUUAACUGUAGAACUGCACUUGAAACUACGAGCCUAGAGUAUGGGAGGGGGAGAUGGAAUUAGUGGUGUAGGGGUAAAAUCCGUAGAUAUCACUAGGAAUACCUAAAGCGAAGGCGAUCUCCUGGAACAUAACUGACGCUAAGGCGUGAAAGCGUGGGGAGCAAACAGGAUUAGAUACCCUAGUAGUC
rnacentral:rRNA from 1 species